rnacentral:tRNA from 1 species
GCGAAAGUGGCGGAACUUGGUAGACGCGCAGGAUUCAGGAUCCUGUGGGCUAAACACCCGUGGGGGUUCGAUUCCCCCCUUUCGCACCA